rnacentral:SRP_RNA from 1 species
GCCGGGUGUGGUGGUGGGCACCUGUAAUCCCAGCUACUCAGGAGGCUGAGGCAGGAGAAUUGCUUGAACCCGGGAAGCGGAGUUUGCAGUGAGCCAAGAUGGCGCUACUGCACUCUGGCCUGGUUGACAGAGCAAGACUCUGUCUUAU